rnacentral:rRNA from 1 species
CGAUGAGGUAUACCUAUCGAUGACGUACGCAGAGAGCACGCUACUCGUGCAGCAGCGCGUAUACGAGGGUGCAGCGUAUCGAAUACUGGCGUAGCGCACGCAGCGGUCUGUCAGUCGGAUGUGAAAUCCCCGGGCUCAACCUGGAACUGCAUUCGAAACUGGCAGGCUAGAGUCUGUAGAGGGGGGUAGAAUCCAGGUGUAGCGGUGAAAUGCGUAAGAGAUUUCGAGGAAUACCGGUGGCGAAGGCGGCCCCCUGGACAAAGACUGACGCUCAGGUGCGAAAGCGUGGGGAGCAAAACAAGAUAGAUACCCUGGUAGUCCACGCUGUAAACGAUGUCGAUUUGGAGGUUGUGCCCCUGAGGCGUGGCUUCCGGAGCUAACGCGUUAAAUCGACCGCCUGGGGAGUACGGCCGCAAGGUUAAAACUCAAAUGAAUUGACGGGGGCCCGCACAAGCGGUGGAGCAUGUGGUUUAAUUCGAUGCAACGCGAAGAACCUUACCUGGUCUUGACAUCCACAGAACUUUCCAGAGAUGGAUUGGUGCCUUCGGGAACUGUGAGACAGGUGCUGCAUGGCUGUCGUCAGCUCGUGUUGUGAAAUGUUGGGUUAAGUCCCGCAACGAGCGCAACCCUUAUCCUUUGUUGCCAGCGGUUAGGCCGGGAACUCAAAGGAGACUGCCAGUGAUAAACUGGAGGAAGGUGGGGAUGACGUCAAGUCAUCAUGGCCCUUACGACCAGGGCUACACACGUGCUACAAUGGCAUAUACAAAGAGAAGCGACCUCGCGAGAGCAAGCGGACCUCAUAAAGUAUGUCGUAGUCCGGAUUGGAGUCUGCAACUCGACUCCAUGAAGUCGGAAUCGCUAGUAAUCGUAGAUCAGAAUGCUACGGUGAAUACGUUCCCGGGCCUUGUACACACCGCCCGUCACACCAUGGGAGUGGGUUGCAAAAGAAGUAGGUAGCUUUAACUUCGGGAGGCGCUUACCACUUUGGAAUGCACGGCCG